rnacentral:rRNA from 1 species
ACGAACGCUGGCGGCGUGCCUAACACAUGCAAGUCGAGCGAGAAAGGGGAGCAAUCCCCUGAGUACAGCGGCGCACGGGUGAGUAACACGUAGGUGAUCUCCCCUCGAGCCCGGAAUAACCUACCGAAAGGUGGGCUAAUACCGGAUAUGACCACGGGAGUUUCGGCUCCUGCGGUGAAAGAUGGCCUCUACCUGUAAGCUAUCACUCAAGGAUGAGCCUGCGUGCCAUAGCUAGUUGGUGAGGUAACGGCUCACCAAGCUAUGAUGGCUAGCUGGUCUGAGAGGAUGGCCAGCC